CGACGUAGGUAACCUGCCUGGUAGCGGGGGGUAACUAUUGGAAACGAUAGCUAAUACCGCAUAAGAACAUUUACUGCAUGGUAGAUGUUUAAAAGGUUGCAAAUGCAUCACUACCAGAUGGACCUGCGUUGUAUUAGCUAGUAGGUGAGGUAACGGCUCACCUAGGCGACGAUACAUAGCCGACCUGAGAGGGUGAUCGGCCACACUGGGACUGAGACACGGCCCAG
rnacentral:rRNA from 1 species